AUGAACGCUAGCGGCAGGCCUAACACAUGCAAGUCGUACGGCAGCACAGGUAGCAAUACUGGGUGGCGAGUGGCGCACGGGUGCGUAACACGUAUGCAACUUACCCUUAACUGGAAAAUAGCUCAGAGAAAUCUGAAUUAAUGUUCCAUAACGUUUCUAAGAGGCAUCUCUUGGUUUCUAAAGCUCAGGCGGUUAAGGAUAGGCAUGCGGCCCAUUAGCUUGUUGGUGAGGUAACGGCUCACCAAGGCUACGAUGGGUAGGGGGUCUGAGAGGACUAACCCCCACACUGGUACUGAGACACGGACCAGACUCCUACGGGAGGCAGCAGUGAGGAAUAUUGGUCAAUGGACGCAAGUCUGAACCAGCCAUGCCGCGUGAAGGAUGACUGCCCUAUGGGUUGUAAACUUCUUUUCUACGGGAAUAAACCCCUCUACGUGUAGAGGGCUGAAGGUACCGUAGGAAUAAGCACCGGCUAACUCCGU
rnacentral:rRNA from 1 species